ensembl:lncRNA
UAUCAGAAAUGAACCACAAUCCAGAAAAUGGAAAACUCAGUCCAGAAAGUGAGAGAUUUCUUGCUUGGUUUGAAGUAGGUGAAUCCACUUCUAGUCUGGUCCUUUGACGUGGGAAGACACUCACCAUUAGCCCAGACCUUGAAGUGAGAAGACAGGCCUUUAAUAUGGGCCACACCUUUUGCUGGACAUCUAUAUAAGGAGAGAGAAGAAGAAAGCUUUUGCUCUUUGCCUUUUUGCCCUCACCUUGCUAGCACGUCCAUCCCUUCACUGGCAAGAGAGCCUACAUGUUUGAGAUCCCAGCAUCUACUGAAGAGCAACUGAGGCAUCCCGCUUUGUGGACUGAACACUACUGGAUUCUUGGACUUUGCGUUCGCAGCCAGCCAUUGUUGGAUUAGCUGGAUGGCAGCCUGCCUCACACAGAGAGAGGCAGCACCUUCUGCCCCGCCCUGCUCAGUUCAGAAGACACUGGUAGCAUCAUUUAAGCACUGAAGCAAAUAACACAGCAUACUGCAAGUCAGAGGAGCUUAAGUGGGACUCGACUAAUCUUUUUUAAGGCUCUGUGUCACUGCCACCUGGCCUUGAAUUUCUCAGGAUGACCUCCCCCAUUGCUGGCACAGGAGGCGCUCAGUCAAUACGCCCGAAUCCAGAUAAAGCACACCAAGCCAACCGGGUUCCACAUGGAGAGAUUUAAUGAGAGAAGAGGAGAGAAGAGGAAAAGAGGCCAGCCAUGGAAGCUGAGGCUACAGGGAGAGGUGGCAGCCAGUCCUACAGAGCCUCACAGGUCAGGCUUCGGUUCAAACUUCGAGCAGCUUUCACAACGCAGAAAAAUCGCUCCUGAUGUAGGUGAUCACUAUCUGUGUUUGUCCAACAAGCACUAUGUCCACCAAAAAUAUUUUGAGGACAAUAGCUUACCAAGACUGAUCAAGGAAGCAAAGUUUAAAAUAAAAAGAUAAAUAGUUCUUCAAGCACCUAGAUAAAAUGACAACUAAAAGUCGAUUCCUCCUCCGUGUCUUCCUUUCUCUCGUUUCCUCUUUAACUCUUCUUGUUUCCCUGUCUCUCUUUCCCUCCAGUACGGGAGGCAUCAGAGUCCAUCUGUGCUGGGGGACCUAGGGAGCCCUGCUGGGAGCAGGAAGGGUGCUGAGGCUGAGAAGGACAGCCAGGCAGGAAGGAGCACAGUCCAGGGAGGAGGAGGACUUGCAGAUGGAGAGAUGUGUUGGGGGAAGUUUGAAGAUUUAUCAGACCGCAAAUAAUUAAAUUGGUCGAAUACAUAAAUAAAGGCAUUGUUGAUAAUGAGCGCCAAGUUUCACUGUGAUGGAGAAUGUACCCGUAAACGUGUCCAGUCAGAAGUCCUGACUAAUCCUAAAGCAUUAGAUUAGACUCUAAUAGAAUCGGUGUGAAUUACAGAUCCAGCGGGUAUGUCUUUCUUACGUUGUCUUGUUGUCCUUUGUUUUUUGAGACAGGCUGGCCUAGAACUCAUGAAGGAUUCCAGGCUGACUUCAAACUCACUCUAACUCUAAUCCUCCUGCUCUAACCUUUCAAGCGAGUGCUAAGAUGAUAGAUAGGUGUGAGCUUUUUCUUUUCCCUCCCCCAUUCUUUCUUGUUUCUUUUCUUCUCUCUUUGGUCUUUUCCUUUCUUCCUUGCCCUCAUUAAUGAGUCAUCUAGUGGCCAAAACCAAAUGGGACUCCAUUAGUCAUAAGAGCAUAAUUCACCCCAAACCUGUCUUCCACUUACUGCCAACUAAUGAAACCAUACACUGAGCUGGAGGGCUGCUUUGGUGGUUAAGAACACAACACUGGCUGCUCUUCCAGAGGAUCCGGGUUUGACUCCCAGCAUCCACAUGACAGCUCAUAAGGGGCUGUGCCUCCAUCCUUUUCUAGCCUCUGAGACACACAGACAUACAGUCAGAACACCCAUAUACAUAAUGUUUUUAAGUUCACAAUGAGGAAGAACAGGAAAUCAUGAACAGCGAGGCGUGAAUGAAAAAAUGUUCCUUACUGAGGGACCUGCAUCCUUUGAGAAACACUUUCAAGCCAUAAAACUUGCAUUUACUGAUGACUUAAACUAACAUACACUUAUUACCGUCUUACUGUGUUUGAGGUUCUGUGUUCUUGCCUGGCACAAAGGCCUGUGAUGAACUGUGUUGAUUCUGUCCUUGGGAGGAAAACACAGCACAGUGAGUGUCCCUAUCCCUUCUCUCUCCUCCCUCUUACUUCCCUCCAAGUGCCCAUGGCCAACCUCCUUUCCUCCCUUCUUCUACUCUUCUUCUCUCAUUAAGCCUCUCUACGUGGAACCAUGUUAGCUUGGUGUGCUUUGUCCCGGUGUGGGCUGAGAUUUUAAACCCUAACAGUGGGGGCCCAUAUGAAGAGAUUGAUCUCCCCGUGCCUACAUGGCCUGGCACCCUGCCACUGCUGACCUCGGGGCAGAAGAUAGGCCUUUUCCACCGCAUACCUCCACCACCUGUCAAGGCUCGAGCAUGCACCACCCAAGAUCGCUGCAGCACGUCCCGCCAUUGAGUUCCACUCUUACAUUCACUGCUGCUUCUGUGUGCACCACCCCAAUUCAAUUGCAGCUGCUGCCUCUGCUAUGCCAUCUACACAUCCGACCACCACCACCACCACCUGCUGGCUUCCACCACAUGAGUUGCUGCUUCAGCUGGCCCACAUGCAGACUUCUGCAUGAGCCGCUGCCCUCUGCGGUUCACCACGUGGUGCCAGCUCUUGCUGCUUAGACAGGCCCGCCCCAACCACACGGUUCCUCUUUUCCUGCUACCAGACUGCAGCUACAGUCUCUUCACAAACACCGGCAGAUUGGUAGGUAUAUUCCAGUUGGCAAGGAGGACCCUGAUUUCCCAGAUAAAGUCUGGCCAGCUUUUCUGAGAUUACGGGAAUUUUCUUGAUCAUUGAGUGGAGUUUCCCUCAAAAGUGGUUCCUCGCUCCCCUCCUGCUCUGGGCUCUCACAGCCAACAAAAAAAAAAAUCCCAGGCCUGGAUAGGAACGCUUUCUUGUGUGUCUGGGACCCAUCGUUUAUAGCUGCCAGGAGUCUAAUCCACGACUCAAACACCAGGCGUGGCAGAGUAUUACCAUUACCAUUAAUUUCUCCUGGGACGCUGGUGAGAUUUAAUUGGUGACUUCCUCCAAUGGGAAAUUCGAGGUCUUCGACCGUACCCCCAAAUUCACCGUCAGGAUGUCUUUUAGAGAAUUUCAAAACUUCAAAAUUAACACCUCAUCUGAGGACAUCAAAAUUGAUACACCUAUGCAGUAUUCAUUAGAUAAUGUUCAAAAUGGCUGCAUAAUGGCACUCCUUUUUCACUGAAUGAACUUUCUCAAAUAGAAAGCAGACUGGGUUCCUAUACCUCUAAUUCAUUCACUGUUAUUAAAGAGUUCCAGUACAUUACCCAAUCUUACAGCUUGACCUUUCAUGAUGUGCAUAUGGUCCUUACUAAUAAUUUACUUCCUGAGGAACACCGGCAAGUUUGGGAGCAGGACAGUCUUAAAACCAGUGAAUUUUGAAAAAACUACAAGAGGUCAUCCAGGAAGAAACAGGAAAACCCACCCCAAUCUUUAGAACGCCUUACAAAGGCUUUAUUGCAAUACACUAAUCUAGACCCGGAAAACCCAGAAGGUAAACAACUUCUGAUGAACUAUUUCUUUUCCCAAAGGGACAAACUUAAAAAGCUGGAGAGGGGGUCCCUAACCCCGCAGGCAGAAAUUUUGGCGCUGACCUUCAAGGUGUACCAUGGGAGAGAUGGGAAGGCUUGCAGACAAAAGCACCUUAUGCUGGUAACGGCUGUCUGACCAGCCUCAGCCACUCCCUGGAACUCCUGGUCUUCUAAGGCUAAGAGACCACCAGGCUCCUGCCAAAAAUGUGGUCAAGAAGGUCACUGGGCGAGGGCUUGCCCUAACUUCUGAAAACCAAGGGGUCCAUGUCCUAGAUGCCAUCAAGAGGGACACUGGGCUGUCGAUUGCCCUCAUGUUGUGCAGGACAGGGGGACAUCAUGCCCAGAUAACCCUCCAGAGGAUCUUCUAGGCUUGGCUAUGGAUGACUGAAGGGUCCUGAGUUCCCUGGACCUGACCACUGCCAUUUCCAGCAGGGAGACAUUAUGGUAUGUGGGUAGCCCAUCUCCUUCCUCUUGGACACCGGGGCCACUUACUCCUAAUGGCGUUUUGGGGACCCAUUUCUUUCUCCCGUUUCCCCAUUGUCGGGGUAAGGGGUAACCUAACUUUCCUCACCAAACCCUACUGCUUAGUUUCAAUUUUAGGGGUGUACCUCCCACUCAUUCCUUUUUGGUGGUGCCGACAUGCCCUGUCCUCUUUUGGGAAGGGAUCUUCUAGCUAAGUUGGGAGCCUUUAUUUCCUCUGCUCCACCCAUUUGCCUAAAACCAAGCUCGCCUGCACUCCUCUGCUUCUCCUAGCCAGCCAACCUACUAACACGGACAUGUUGCUUCCUUUACCAGCUUUUCAGGUAGACCUCCCUGAGUCUGGGAGGUCCAGAACCCCUCUGUUGCUAAACAGUCUUUCCAAAUAGGAUCUGGAAACUGUCUUAACUGUCCUUUUUGUCAUGACAAACAGUUUUAAGACACCCAGGACACUUUCUACAGGACAAAUUCUUCCUUCUGCUCCACAAAAAGCUUAUCUUAAAGAAUGUUCAUGUUGUUAACUCAUGUUGUUAUCUCUCUUGUAAACUUGUAAGUUACAGGAAACCCUCUCAGACCUACUGUUGUUGUUAAAAUCUCCUUGUUGCUAAAUAUGGGCCCACGCCCGUCCAGAUAGAGCACACCAAACCAACACAGUUCCACGUGGAGAGAUUUAAUGGGAGAACGAGACAAGGGGAAGGAUCGAGAGAAAGAAGAGGAAGAGAAGGAGGGCAGAAGAGGGCUGCCUUUUAUUUGGAAUGUGAGGUAACUACUCCCAGAUGGAGGUGGGAAUUAAACUAAAGGAACACUGGGAAUGUACGGCCGUUGCCAUGGCAACAGUGACCAACCGGUGUCGCUGUUGGAGGUAAAGGCAAUUCCUGAUACCAACAUACU